UACGAAGGGUGCAAGCGUUACUCGGAAUUACUGGGCGUAAAGCGUGCGUAGGUGGUGAGUUAAGUCUGUCGUGAAAGCCCCGGGCUCAACCUGGGAAUGGCGAUGGAUACUGGCUCGCUAGAGUGCGGUAGAGGAGAGUGGAAUUCCCGGUGUAGCAGUGAAAUGCGUAGAGAUCGGGAGGAACAUCAGUUGCGAAGGCGGCUCUCUGGACCAGCACUGACACUGAGGGGCGAAAGCGUGGGGAGCGAACGGG
rnacentral:rRNA from 1 species